AUUGAACGCUAGCGGGAUGCUUUACACAUGCAAGUCGAACGAGUGGCGGACGGGUGAGUAAUGUAUGGGGACUGCCCGAUAGAGGGGGAUAACUACUGGAAACGGUAGCUAAUACCGCAUACUAUCGGAUAACCCAUAUGGGAGUAGCUAGUAGGUGAGGUAAUGGCUCAACUAGGCGACGACCCCUAGCUGGUCUGAGAGGGUGAUCAGCAACACGUGGACUGAGGCACGGCCCAGACUCCUACGGAGGCGGCAGGGGGGAAUAUUGCACAAUGGGAGCAAGCCUGAUGCAGCCAUGCCGCGUGUAUGAAGAAGGCCCGAGGGUUGUAAAGCACUUUCAGUCGGGAGGCGUUACCGACAGAAGAAGCACCGGCUAACUCCGUGCCAGCAGCCGCGUAAUAC
rnacentral:rRNA from 1 species